rnacentral:rRNA from 1 species
UAUUGGGUAAUGGGCGCAAGCCUGACCCAGCAACGCCGCGUGAAGGAAGAAGGCUUUCGGGUUGUAAACUUCUUUUGUCAGGGACGAAGCAAGUGACGGUACCUGACGCAUAAGCCACGGCGAACUACGUGCCAGAAGCCGCGGUAAUACGUAGGUGGCAAGCGUUAUCCGGAUUUAUUGGGCGUAAAGGGCGUGUAGGCGGGAAUGCAAGUCAGAUGUGAAAACUAUGGGCUCAACCCAUAGCCUGCAUUUGAAACUGUAUUUCUUGAGUGCUGGAGAGGCAAUCGGAAUUCCGUGUGUAGCGGUGAAACGCGUAGAUAUACGGAGGAACACCAGUGGCGAAGGCGGAUUGCUGGACAGUAACUGACGCUGAGGCGCGAAAGCGUGGGGAGCAAACAG